CAGAGGGGGAUAACGUUUGGAAACGAACGCUAAUACCGCAUGAUAUUAUUGGGCAGCAUUGCCUGAUAAUCAAAGGAGCAAUCCGCUGAAAGAUGGGCUCGCGUCCGAUUAGGUAGUUGGCGGGGUAACGGCCCACCAAGCCGACGAUCGGUAGCCGGACUGAGAGGUUGAACGGCCACAUUGGGACUGAGACACGGCCCAGACUCCUACGGGAGGCAGCAGUGAGGGAUAUUGGUCAAUGGGGGAAACCCUGAACCAGCAACGCCGCGUGAGGGAAGACGGUUUUCGGAUUGUAAACCUCUGUCCUCUGUGAAGAUGAUGACGGUAGCAGAGGAGGAAGCUCCGGCUAACUACGUGCCAGCAGCCGCGGUAAUACGUAGGGAGCAAGCGUUGUCCGGAUUUACUGGGUGUAAAGGGUGCGUAGGCGGCUUUGCAAGUCAGAAGUGAAAUCUAUGGGCUUAACCCAUAAACUGCUUUUGAAACUGCAGGGCUUGAGUGAAGUAGAGGUAGGCGGAAUUCCCGGUGUAGCGGUGAAAUGCGUAGAGAUCGGGAGGAACACCAGUGGCGAAGGCGGCCUACUGGGCUUUAACUGACGCUGAGGCACGAAAGCGUGGGUAGCAAACAGGAUAAGAUACCCUGGUAGUCCACGCUGUAAACGAUGAUUACUAGGUGUGGGUGGACUGACCCCAUCCGUGCCGGAGU
rnacentral:rRNA from 1 species